rnacentral:rRNA from 1 species
AGGACGAACGCUGGCGGCGUGCUUAACACAUGCAAGUCGAGCGGAAAGGCCCUUCGGGGUACUCGAGCGGCGAACGGGUGAGUAACAAGUGAGUAAUCUGCCCCUAGCUAUGGGAUAGCUCCGGGAAACCGGGAUUAAUACCAGAUACGACCACUUUAGACAUCUGUUGUGGUGGAAAGAAUUUUGGCUAGGGAUGAGCUCGCGGCCUAUCAGCUUGUUGGUGAGGUAACGGCUCACCAAGGCGACGACGGGUAGCCGGCCUGAGAGGGCGACCGGCCACACUGGGACUGAGACACGGCCCAGACUCCUACGGGAGGCAGCAGUGGGGAAUAUUGCGCAAUGGGCGAAAGCCUGACGCAGCCAUGCCGCGUGAAUGAUGAAGGUCUUAGGAUUGUAAAAUUCUUUCAGCGGGGACGAUAAUGACGGUACCCGCAGAAGAAGCUCCGGCUAACUUCGCGCCAGCAGCCGCGGUAA